rnacentral:lncRNA from 1 species
ACAAGACAAUAUGGUUUCCUGGGCACUGAUACAAGUGGUAGAGUUUAUAAGACACUUUAUGUGAGUAGCAUAUUGGAAUGUUGUAACAAAUAACAAUCAAGGCUCAGUAAGACAUCUGAUAAACCUAAGACAUCAUCUCCAGUGUCUUUCAGAAAGGUGACUUACAGAAACUCUGCAUGGCAAGUCUCUUUUUAUGCUCCUGCAUUACAGGGACCAAUUGAUAAGAGGAUGGAGCUGCCUGCAUUUUAGAUACAUAAAGGUCUGAAGGAACCUCAGAUGCUUCU